CCGAAUAUGGUGGCGUUUCCACCAAAGCAGAUAGGAAUGAUGCUACCUUCCUCUCUCACCGAUCUGACCAUUAAAAAUUUCAAAAAUUUGAAAUGCCUAUCCUCUAAAGGCUUUCAAAACCUCAGCUCUUUUCAUCAUUUGCGCAUUAUCCGUUGCCCUAAGCUCACAUCUCUUCCUGAAAAAGACAGGCUUCACUCACUUUUGGAGUUAUACAUUAGUGAUUGUCCAUUGCUAAAGGAAGAGUGCAAAAGGGACAAAGGACGAGAGUGGUCCAAGAUAGCCCACGUACCUUGUGUUAUCUUUAAUUAGGCUUGACACCCAAAGGAGUUGAAUUGAAAGUUGACUGUGAAAAUCACAGGCAAUUCAAAAGCUUUAGAAGGAAACUUGGUGAGAAACUGGGCUUCUCCUUUUUCAUCUAAAUGGCAGAAUCAGUGUGUAAUUAGUUGUUGACCUAUCAAAAUGCUGCAGAGGCUGAUGAAUGGAGUGUUAAUUGUGCAGGCAGAAACCCGAACAAGAAUCUGAAUAGGGGAAGAAUAAAUUAUGGCCUUCAAAGGUGGUGGAUAUCAGAUAUGAGAGAUGAAGAAUUUGUGGAAUCUUAAGGGUGAGAUUUCUAUUUCAGGGUUGGAGAACAUUGUUAAAGUGCAAGAUGCAUGGGAAGCUAAGCUGAUUGAUACUCAGGCCUCAAUGAGUUAGAGGUGGAGUUCAACUUUUGUUAACAAUGCAAGAAAUAAAGAAGUUGAAGAAGUGGUGCUGAACUCGUUGAAUUAUGGCUGUCUUUGCUGCAUUGCUGCCACAGGGGAUUGCUUUCUACACAUUUGGAAACCAGCUUGGUUGGAUUCAGGAUCAUACCAGCAAUUGGAAAAUUAUCACUGUUGGAAUCCCUUUGCAUUGAAGGAAUGGUUGGGUUGAAUAACAUUGGUGUUGAGGUCUACAGAGAUAAUCAAUCAGAUGCAUUUUGAACAUUAAGAAGUUAGAACUUUGUGAAUUUUCCAGAAUGAAAGGUAUGAGACUUUUGUGAAGCUGAUGAUCAGGUUGUGAAAUUCCCCAAUAUCUGCAUUCUUUCUAACAUUAACUGCCCUCAAUUGUCAGGAAGAUUGUCUAUCCGUCUCAAUGUCCUAAAACUACUUGAAAUUUGCAGGUGCCUGCCAUUGGUGAUUUCAAUUUUAAAGUUUCCAACCCUGGUGGUAUUAGA